UGCANGUCGAACGGCAGCACGGGGGCAACCCUGGUGGCGAGUGGCGAACGGGUGAGUAAUACAUCGGAACGUGUCCUGUAGUGGGGGAUAGCCCGGCGAAAGCCGGAUUAAUACCGCAUACGAUCUACGGAAGAAAGCGGGGGAUCCUUCGGGACCUCGCGCUAUAGGGGCGGCCGAUGGCAGAUUAGCUAGUUGGUGGGGUAAAGGCCUACCAAGGCGACGAUCUGUAGCUGGUCUGAGAGGACGACCAGCCACACUGGGACUGAGACACGGCCCAGACUCCUACGGGAGGCAACAGUGGGGAAUUUUGGACAAUGGGGGAAACCCUGAUCCAGCAAUGCCGCGUGUGUGAAGAAGGCCUUCGGGUUGUAAAGCACUUUUGUCCGGAAAGAAAACUUCGGCCCUAAUACGGCGGGAGGAUGACGGUACCGGAAGAAUAAGCACCGGCUAACUACGUGCCAGCAGCCGCGGUAAUACGUAGGGUGCGAGCGUUAAUCGGAAUUACUGGGCGUAAAGCGUGCGCAGGCGGUUCGUUAAGACAGAUGUGAAAUCCCCGGGCUUAACCUGGGAACUGCAUUUGUGACUGGCGAGCUAGAGUAUGGCAGAGGGGGGUAGAAUUCCACGUGUAGCAGUGAAAUGCGUAGAGAUGUGGAGGAAUACCGAUGGCGAAGGCAGCCCCCUGGGCCAAUACUGACGCUCAUGCACGAAAG
rnacentral:rRNA from 1 species